AGAGUUUGAUCCUGGCUCAGAAUCAACGCUGGCGGCGUGCCUAACACAUGCAAGUCGAACGCGAAAGCCCGCAAGGGUAAGUAGAGUGGCGCACGGGUGAGUAACACGUGGACAACCUGCCUUCGAGUGGGGAAUAACCUUCCGAAAGGAGGGCUAAUACCGCAUAACACCUCGGGACACAAGUUCUGGGGUUGAAAAGAGCAAUUUGCUCGAAGAGGGGUCCGCGCCUGAUUAGCUAGUUGGUGAGGUAACGGCUCACCAAGGCUUCGAUCAGUAGCCGUCCUGAGAGGGAGCACGGCCACACUGGAACUGAGACACGGUCCAGACUCCUACGGGAGGCAGCAGUGGGGAAUUUUUGGCAAUGGGCGAAAGCCUGACCAAGCAACGCCGCGUGGGUGAUGAAGUAUCUUGGUACGUAAAACCCUUUCGGCAGGGACGAACCUAAUGACGGUACCNGCGGAAGAAGCCCC
rnacentral:rRNA from 1 species